UUCUCGUUGUUCCCUCCCUGCUUCUUUCUUUUCUCUCUUAUUCAUACUGGCGAUCUCCUCCUUCUACCCUGCCCAGACGGUUUCCUUGGUUUCCGUUGUGAAGGAAGCAGCGUCUGGUUGUUAAGAUGGCGGGGCACUCUCACACCGGAAUCUCGCAGGCUUCCACUACCUCUGACCAUAGACAGACCUUCAUGUUCCUGACACGAUGAAUUCAAACACCAGGGGAGAAUAAACCUUUUGACAAUAUAGAUUUUGAUAUCAUCCUUGCACAGGAACUUAAUAAGGUGCAACCUUUGUGAUGUUACGGGCCUAGCAGCAACCUCAUCCCAACUUUACCGGGGACGUAGGUUUAAAGCAUGGAUAAGAUUCUUUUUUGGUCAAUGAAGAAAAUAUGUGAACACUUUUUUGAUACAAUCCAUUAAAGCGCAAAGGAAAAAAUGCAACACCAAACAAUUAACCCUUAUUCAAAUGUAACAAGUCAGUUGGAAAUCGACUUGGAGGAAGAACGCCAAGCUUUGUUAGAAGAUCAGAAGAC